rnacentral:rRNA from 1 species
GACGAACGCUGGCGGCGUGCUUAACACAUGCAAGUCGAACGGAAAGGCCCUGCUUUUGUGGGGUGCUCGAGUGGCGAACGGGUGAGUAACACGUGAGUAACCUGCCCUUGACUUUGGGAUAACUUCAGGAAACUGGGGCUAAUACCGGAUAGGAGCUCCUGCUGCAUGGUGGGGGUUGGAAAGUUUCGGCGGUUGGGGAUGGACUCGCGGCUUAUCAGCUUGUUGGUGGGGUAGUGGCUUACCAAGGCUUCGACGGGUAGCCGGCCUGAGAGGGUGACCGGCCACAUUGGGACUGAGAUACGGCCCAGACUCCUACGGGAGGCAGCGGUGGGGAAUAUUGCACAAUGGGCGGAAGCCUGAUGCAGCAACGCCGCGUGCGGGAUGACGGCCUUCGGGUUGUAAACCGCUUUCGCCUGUGACGAAGCGUGAGUGACGGUAAUGGGUAAAGAAGCACCGGCUAACUACGUG